rnacentral:rRNA from 1 species
AACGAACGCUGGCGGCAUGCCUAACACAUGCAAGUCGAACGAGACCUUCGGGUCUAGUGGCGCACGGGUGCGUAACGCGUGGGAACCUGCCCUUAGGUUCGGAAUAACUCCCCGAAAGGGGUGCUAAUACCGGAUAAUGUCUUCGGACCAAAGAUUUAUCGCCUUUGGAUGGGCCCGCGUUGGAUUAGCUAGUUGGUAGGGUAAAAGCCUACCAAGGCGACGAUCCAUAGCUGGUCUGAGAGGAUGAUCAGCCACAAUGGGACUGAGACACGGCCCAGACUCCUACGGGAGGCAGCAGUGGGGAAUAUUGGACAAUGGGCGAAAGCCUGAUCCAGCAAUGCCGCGUGAGUGAUGAAGGCCUUAGGGUUGUAAAGCUCUUUUACACGGGAUGAUAAUGACAGUACCGGGAGAAUAAGCUCCGGCUAACUCCGUG